rnacentral:rRNA from 1 species
UGCGUAGGCGGUUUGGUAAGUCUUGUGUGAAAUCUUCGGGCUCAACUCGAAGUCUGCACGAGAAACUGCCGGGCUUGAGUGUGGGAGAGGUGAGUGGAAUUUCCGGUGUAGCGGUGAAAUGCGUAGAUAUCGGAAGGAACACCUGUGGCGAAAGCGGCUCACUGGACCACAACUGACGCUGAGGCACGAAAGCUAGGGGAGCAAACAGGAUUAGAUACCCUGGUAGUCCACGCUGUAAACGAUGGAUACUAGGUGUGGGAGGUAUCGACCCCUUCCGUGCCGCAGUAACGCGAUAAGUAUCCCGCCUGGGGAGUACGGCCGCAAGGUUGAAA